UACGUAGGGGGCAAGCGUUGUCCGGAAUCAUUGGGCGUAAAGCGCGCGUAGGUGGCCAUGUAAGUCCGCUGUGAAAGUCAAAGGCUCAACCUUUGAAAGCCGGUGGAUACUGCAUGGCUAGAGUACGGAAGAGGCGAGUGGAAUUCCGGGUGUAGCGGUGGAAUGCGUAGAGAUCCGGAAGAACACCGGUGGCGAAGGCGGUGAGCUGGGCAGUUGCUGACACUGAGGCGCGACAGCGUGGGGAGCAAACAGG
rnacentral:rRNA from 1 species